rnacentral:rRNA from 1 species
GAUGAACGCUAGCGGGAGGCCUAACACAUGCAAGCCGAGCGGGAUUUGUUGGUUAGCUUGCUAACUAACAAUGAGAGCGGCGUACGGGUGCGUAGCACGUGUGCAACCUGCCUUUAUCUGGGGGAUAGCCUUUCGAAAGGAAGAUUAAUACCCCAUAACAUAUUGAUUGGCAUCAGUUAAUAUUGAAAGCUCCGGCGGAUAGAGAUGGGCACGCGUAAGAUUAGCUAGUUGGUGAGGUAACGGCUCACCAAGGCUGCGAUCUUUAGGGGGCCUGAGAGGGUGAUCCCCCACACGGGUACUGAGACACGGACCAGACUCCUACGGGAGGCAGCAGUGAGGAAUAUUGGACAAGGGGUGAGAGCCUGAUCCAGCCAUCCCGCGUGAAGGACUAAGGACCUAUGGUUUGUAAACUUCUUUUAUACAGGGAUAAACCUACUCUCGUGAGGGUAGCUGAAGGUACUGGAUGAAUAAGCACCGGCUAACUCCGUG